UGGGGAAUCUUGCGCAAUGGGGGCAACCCUGACGCAGCGACGCCGCGUGCGGGACGAAGGCCUUCGGGUCGUAAACCGCUUUCAGCAGGGACGAGGCCGAGAGGUGACGGUACCUGCAGAAGAAGCCCCGGCUAACUACGUGCCAGCAGCCGCGGUAAUACGUAGGGGGCGAGCGUUAUCCGGAUUCAUUGGGCGUAAAGCGCUCGUAGGCUGCCCGCUAGGUCCGGGGUCAAAUCCGGGGGCUCAACCCCCGCACGCCCCGGAUACCGGCGGGCUUGAGUCGGGUAGGGGAAGGCGGAAUUCCAGGUGUAGCGGUGGAAUGCGCAGAUAUCUGGAAGAACACCGGUGGCGAAGGCGGCCUUCUGGACUGUAACUGACGCUGAGGCUCGAAAGCGUGGGGAGCGAACAGGAUUAGAUACCCUGGUAGU
rnacentral:rRNA from 1 species